GUAAAAGUUGCCGCUCUUGUUGGUGCGUCAGCGCUCAAACUUGAGCACAAAGCAGCAAAGGUAGAGCGACAUAGACAGUGGCAGUCAGGGGGGAGAGAGAGAGAGCGAGAGAAAGAGAGCGAGCGAGAGAGGAGCGGUGCCUCUUUUCCUUUGUCUGAUGCUCUGUCUCGAGCUUUUUGGACACUACUUGAAGCGACGUCAUCAUGCUCACAGUACACUGGAACCUCGAACCCAACCGAUACAUGUUCUUCAGCUGUUUGGGAGACAGACGGAGGAACUCCGGAGUCAUCUACGGAGAAGCUUUGAGGAUUAAGAGGCAGAACACUUUUAUUUUGGGAGAAGAUGAGGACUCAGGAUUUAAACCCCAGCUUUGCCUUGAGGGAGUCAUACUUGGAAAUUUAAAAACCUGGAUAUACUUUGGAGAUUAAAUAUUCAGCGGGAUGGCAGAGUAUUGAAUUUUGAUCCUCCAUCGUAUAGUGCAAAAGAUGCAGCUUCGGAGCUAUGAAUCCACAUCUCAACGUUGUAUAGUGAUGACUCCUCUGAAGAUGGAAUCCUCACGACAACGACAAGUUUGCUGAUAGAACAUGUUACUGGCAAGGCCCCAAGCUGAAUGGAGCUGAGACAUUGGAGGUGACUCAGCUGGGCGGGAGCGUGCUGCCCUCGCGACCUCGAUUUGACAAGCUGCCACCAUUUCCGCCCACAAACUAAAAACACGCUUCUAAGGUUAACGGAAGAUUCCAAACUGUCCUUUCUGUCAAUAAACGCACUGCCACUUUGGAGGAUGUUUGUUAGUGACAACAGUUAUGGGUCAUCCCUUCCAUUCCCUAACAGAGACUGCGGAGACAAACUGCUGCAUUUGUGACGGGUUCCUUACUGUAUACAUUGUACGAUAGCGGCAUUGUUGCAAUGAAAAACUAUUUUAUUGUGCUACACCUUGACCUUAUUAUCACAAAAAUCUCAAGGCAAAUCUUAACCUUCCUACCUAGCGAUACAUAUCUUUCACACAUUGUUGCCGGCCAGUAAAAAGUAACGUCACAAAAACUGUGGCGAGACUUGCCUUGGGAAACACUUACCGUAAUACUGUCUGGGGAAUGCGCUUUCAUGCUAUCCACUGUAAAGUGUCUUUGAGUGUCUCGAAAAGCUCUAUAGAGAUCUGAUGCAUUAUUAUUAAAACAUGACAUGUUUGUUUUCACCACUUGCGGGCCAUCAUGAUUCUUGGUGACAGACUAAACUGUGAGCAAGUUAUGAGAACUCAUUUCACUGCCCCAAAAUGUGUGUCUGAACACAAGAAAUCCCGAUCUAUCAAAUUACUCUA